CACGUAGUUAGCCGGGGCUUCUUAUUUAGGUACCGUCAUUUUUUUCUUCCCUAUUGAUAGAAGUUUACAAUCCGAAAACCGUCUUCCUUCACGCGGCGUUGCUGCAUCAGGCUUUCGCCCAUUGUGCAAUAUUCCCCACUGCUGCCUCCCGUAGGAGUUUGGGCCGUGUCUCAGUCCCAAUGUGGCCGGUCACCCUCUCAGGUCGGCUACUGAUCGUCGCCUUGGUGGGCUGUUAUCUCACCAACUAGCUAAUCAGAUGCGGGCCCAUCUUUUACCGAAUAAAUCCUUUCUUUCCUAGAAGAUGCCUUCCAAGAACCGUAUGCGGUAUUAGUCACCGUUUCCAGUGAUUAUUCCCCAGUAAAAGGCAGGUUACCCACACGUUACUCACCCGUCCGCCGCUAAAAUAAUCAAAAGCAAGCUCCCAAUUAUUUCGCUCGACUUGCAUGUGUUAAGCACGCCGCCAGCGUUCAUCCUGAGCCAGGAUCAAACUCU
rnacentral:rRNA from 1 species